rnacentral:rRNA from 1 species
AUUGAACGCUGGCGGCAGGCCUAACACAUGCAAGUCGAGCGGAUGAAGGGAGCUUGCUCCUGGAUUCAGCGGCGGACGGGUGAGUAAUGCCUAGGAAUCUGCCUGGUAGUGGGGGAUAACGUCCGGAAACGGGCGCUAAUACCGCAUACGUCCUGAGGGAGAAAGUGGGGGAUCUUCGGACCUCACGCUAUCAGAUGAGCCUAGGUCGGAUUAGCUAGUUGGUGGGGUAAAGGCCUACCAAGGCGACGAUCCGUAACUGGUCUGAGAGGAUGAUCAGUCACACUGGAACUGAGACACGGUCCAGACUCCUACGGGAGGCAGCAGUGGGGAAUAUUAGGCAAUGGGCGAAAGCCUGAUCCAGCCAUGCCGCGUGUGUGAAGAAGGUCUUCGGAUUGUAAAGCACUUUAAGUUGGGAGGAAGGGCAGUAAGUUAAUACCUUGCUGUUUUGACGUUACCAACAGAAUAAGCACCGGCUAACUUCGUG